CUCUGCCAUGUGAGGUCACAGUGUUCCUCCCUCCUGAGGAUGCAGUGUUCAUGAAAGCAAACACUGGGCCCUCACCAGGCAACAAACCUGCUGGUGCCUUCAUCUUGGACUUCCCAGCCUUCGGAACUGCAGUGGUGGCUGAGAGGAAGAACUGACACCUUUGUGCUAUCAGAGCACUUUGCAGAGGAGCUGUUAGUGGCCCUGUAGGAGUCUGCUGGCCAUACAUCUGGGUGUCAAAUCAAGAGAGCAUGAGAAGUUGGACAGGAAAGGUCCAAGGCAAAAUGGUUACUAAAGGCCAUCCCUGAUCCUGACCCUAAAAGAAGAAAAGGCCCUUUGCUCUUGGCAUGCUUUUGCAGGAGUGUCUCAGUCUGUUUGGGCUGCUAUAACAUUGACUGGGUGAUCUGCCUGCCUGGCCUCCCAAAGUGCUGGGGUUACAGGUGUGAGCCGCUGCACCAGGCCUUGAGGUCAGGAGUUCGAGACCAGCCUGGCCAACAUGGUGAAACCUGUCUUUACUAAAAAUACAGAAAUUAGCCAGGCAUGGAGGCGCAUGCCUGUAAUCCCAGCUACUGGGGAGGCUGAGGCAGGAGAAUCGCUUGAACCCAGAAGGUGGAGGUUGCGGUGAGCCCAGAUAGUGCCAUUGCACUCUAGCCUGGCCAACAAGAGUGAAACUCUGUCUCAAAAAAUAAAUAAACAAACAAACAAACAACAAC
rnacentral:lncRNA from 10 species